rnacentral:rRNA from 1 species
CAGCCGCCGCGGUAAUACGAAGGGUGCAAGCGUUACUCGGAAUUACUGGGCGUAAAGCGUGCGUAGGUGGUGGUUUAAGUCCGUUGUGAAAGCCCUGGGCUCAACCUGGGAAUUGCAGUGGAUACUGGGUCACUAGAGUGUGGUAGAGGAUAGUGGAAUUUCCGGUGUAGCAGUGAAAUGCGUAGAGAUCGGAAGGAACAUCUGUGGCGAAGGCGACUAUCUGGGCCAACACUGACACUGAGGCACGAAAGCGUGGGGAGCAAACAGGAUUAGAUACCCCGGUAGUCCCUGUCUCUUAUAC